GAUGAACGCUAGCGGCAGGCCUAACACAUGCAAGUCGAGGGGUAGAGUUCUUCGGGACUUGAGACCGGCGCACGGGUGCGUAACGCGUAUGCAAUCUACCUUAUACAGGGGAAUAGCCCCAGAGAAAUUUGGAUUAAUGCCCCAUAGUGUUAUCGAAUCGCAUGGUUUGAUAACUAAAGUUCCAACGGUAUAAGAUGAGCAUGCGUCCCAUUAGUUAGUGGUAAGGUAACGGCUUACCAAGACAAUGAUGGGUAGGGGUCCUGAGAGGGAGAUCCCCCACACUGGUACUGAGACACGGACCAGACUCCUACGGGAGGCAGCAGUGAGGAAUAUUGGUCAAUGGGGCGCAAGCCUGAACCAGCCAUGCCGCGUGCAGGAAGACGGUCCUAUGGAUUGUAAACUGC
rnacentral:rRNA from 1 species